AAAUGUUCUCUGUGUGUGUGUGUGUGUGUGUGUGUAUGUGUGUAUAUAUAUAUAUAUAUACAUACACACACACACACAUGCAUACACACACACAUUUU